GCGAACUCGUCCCCACAACCGCAGUUUAUGACAAGCCCUGCAAAUAAGAACCAUUCGAAUCAGCCAUUAAUUGAUGAUAUUGAAUAUGAUCAAAUUGUUGUACCCGAUAAGAAAAGCUGGAAGAACAUAUUCUCAUAUAUUGGCCCUGGUUUCCUUGUUUCUAUUGCCUAUAUCGAUCCUGGAAAUUUUCAAACUGAUUUACAAGCUGGGGCUCAGUACAAAUAUGGGUUGCUUUGGAUAAUUUUACUGGCGUCCUUUGCCGCUCUUGUGAUCCAAUCCCUGGCAGCAAAUCUUGGGGUUGUUACAGGAAAGCAUCUAGCGGAGCAUUGUAGAAAGGAGUAUGCAAAGGUGCCAAAUUUCAUCUUAUGGGUCAUAGCUGAAAUUGCUAUUGUGGCGUGUGAUAUUCCUGAGGUCAUUGGGACAGCGUUUGCUUUAAACAUGCUCUUCAAAAUACCAAUAUGGUGUGGCGUGCUUAUCACAGGGCUGAGUACCUUGACUCUACUUCUAUUGCAACAAUAUGGGGUUCGGACACUUGAAUUCUUUAUUGCGUUCCUGGUACUUACCGUAGCAGUAUGCUUCUUUGUGGAGCUUGGAUAUGCAAAACCGGACUCCUCAGAAGUUCUCCAGGGGCUUUUCGUUCCUCAACUCAAAGGGACUGGUGCUACUAAGCUUGCUAUUUCACUUCUGGGUGCUAUGGUUAUGCCCCACAAUCUUUUCCUCCAUUCAGCCCUGGUGCUUUCCAGGAAAAUUCCUCGAUCCGUCAAUGGCAUCAAAGAGGCAUGCAGAUAUUAUCUGAUCGAAAGUGGUCUGGCUUUGAUGGUGGCAUUUCUUAUUAAUGUAUCAGUUAUCUCAGUAACUGGUGCUGUCUGCAAUUCCCCUUCUAUGAGCCCAGAUGAUCAGGAGAAGUGUCAGGACUUAGACUUGAACAAAGCCUCUUUUUUACUCAAAAAUGUUUUAGGCAACUGGAGUUCCAAGCUAUUUGCAAUUGCUUUACUAGCAUCAGGGCAGAGUUCAACUAUAACUGGGACAUACGCUGGGCAAUACGUUAUGCAGGGUUUUCUUGAUUUGCGACUGAAGCCAUGGAUUAGGAACUUCUUAACUCGAUGCUUAGCCAUAGUUCCAAGUUUAGUUGUUUCACUCAUUGGAGGCUCUGGUGGGGCUGGAAACUUGAUCAUUAUUGCUUCGAUGAUCCUAUCUUUUGAGCUCCCCUUUGCUCUGAUUCCAUUGCUCAAAUUCACAAGCAGUAAGACCAAGAUGGGUUCACACGCAAAUCCAGUUGCGGUUUCAGCAGCUACCUGGGUUAUUGGUACACUAAUCAUGGGAAUAAAUAUAUACUAUUUAGCAGAAAAGUUAAUUACCUCUAUCAAGGAUGGCCAUUUAGGAAAGGCGUCUAAAGUUCUUUGUGGACUGUUAGGUGCCUCAUGUUUGUUAGGUUAUCUGAGCAGUAUCUUAUACUUGGCUUUCCGGAGAAAUAAGGAAGGCACACAUCUUCUGGCGCUUACAGGGCAAGAAGGUUUACAAGUUUCUGAAUUGAACAAUCUACCUAGAGAAGACAUUUUACGUAUGCAGUUGCCUCAGCAGAGGACCACUAAUUGACAUGUUUACUGAAGGGUUAAAUGUAAACAGAUACUGUGUGCAAUUCAGUUAGAACUCGUAUCGUCUUAACCUGUUUUCAUAGGCAUUAUUGCCAAUGAUCCAGUGUUGUAAUGUUAGAGAAUUAGUUUGAAAUGAUGAGAAUCCCAUAUAGACUUUCUAUAUAAGAGAGAACUGCUUAUGCCUCCUG
rnacentral:misc_RNA from 1 species